rnacentral:misc_RNA from 1 species
GAUGAAGAACGUAGCGAAAUGCGAUAAGUAAUGUGAAUUGCAGAAUUCAGUGAAUCAUCGAAUCUUUGAACGCACAUUGCGCCCCUUGGUAUUCCGAGGGGCAUGCCUGUUCGAGCGUCAUUAUAACCCCUCAAGCCCAGCUUGGUGUUGGGGCCUGCUGCACUGGCAGCCCUUAAAAUCAGUGGCGGCGCCAUCUGGCUCUAAGCGUAGUAAUUCUUCUCGCUAUGGAGUCCUGGUGGAUGCUUGCCAUCAACCCCCAAUUUUUCUAUGGUUGACCUCGGAUCAGGUAGGGAUACCCGCUGAACUUAAGCAUAUCAAUAAGCGGAGGA